rnacentral:rRNA from 1 species
UACAGAGGGGGCAAGCGUUGUUCGGAAUUACUGGGCGUAAAGGGCGCGUAGGCGGCUUGAUAAGCGUGCGGUGAAAGCCCGGGGCUCAACCCCGGGUCGGCCGUGCGAACUGUCGAGCUGGAGCACUGUAGAGGCAGGUGGAAUUCCGGGUGUAGCGGUGGAAUGCGUAGAGAUCCGGAAGAACACCGGUGGCGAAGGCGGCCUGCUGGGCAGUGGCUGACGCUGAGGCGCGACAGCGUGGGGAGCAAACAGG